AUUACUAGCUUGAAACACAGACCCAAAGACUGUCAGUCACUGGGAGGUUCUGUUAGACAAUGCAUUUUUCACGAUAGAUUACACCUUGUCGAUGGAAAUGGUUGACAACAUUACAGCUGCACACAGGAAUGCUGAAAGAGCUAUGGAAUAUUUCUGCGCUCUUUUGGAUAUCUGCAGGCAAAUCAAGGAAAAGGACACACAAGACACACCAGGUAAUAAGGUGGAAAAAUAAACUUGAACAGAAGCAUACAAGUUACAUCAGAGGGCGAGCUCCAGGCAAGAUCAACAUGAGCAAGAUCAGCAUUAUUUGAAGUUAGAUGGUCCAUUCAUCAGUCUAAUAGUGGCUCAUUGGAAAGCAUUCCUUAUGGAUCCAGACACAGAAGCUGUGGCCAUCCUUCUACCCAACUGAAGACUGCUUCAAAGAUAGUUGAGGAACACAUGCAAGCACAAGCACGGAACCAGCUGAGUCCAGCUCCAGGAGGCAACCUUUACUUCAGAGCUUGCACCAAUAGGUGCCGUCAAGAAGAUAGAGGGGUGUCACAGUCAAUCACCUUCCAGUGAAUGGUUUUCCAGAGGAGAAGAUCAGAAUGUCAUGUGAUGCUGUUCAGUGUAUCUGCAAUGUAAUACUCCUUCUACUGAGGCCAAUGAGGGUAAUAGGAUGGACCCUCAAUGUCAAGUUUCUAUGCAGAUCAUGUCUGGUACUUCAUACCAGACAGAAGAAACCAUGUAAUGCUCAGAAUCUCUGCUCUGAACAAUUGCAGGAUACACCAGAACCAAGAGAUGGAUCAUAGGGAUCUAUGGAGCCACCACAUUGCAAUGCUGAAGACCAUGUUCAGAUGGAUCAGCACCUCAGCCUCCUCCAGUGCAGCAGCAUGAGCAAAUCAAAACAAACAGGCCUUCAUGAAUCUCCUUCAAUGGAACUCUGUUGCACUGACUGCAAAUGUUUUGUUGCUGCUGAUACCAGCAUCCAGCGAAUCCUAACCCCAACCCAUAUAAUCCCAACUGUAAAUGGAGUUUAACACUUUGAUCUUUCUGACGUUCAAACUGAUUCAGAAAAGUUAAGGUUACAAAUGGAUAGAAACCUUCACAAUAUCCAAUAUUCCCUCACUCAAUCCUGACAAAAGUUUCAUGCUAGUAUGGGUGCUAUGGAAAUGUUCACUAUAAAUUCAAAAAUGGUUAGUACGCCAUGCGAGUGUGAAGGAUGUCAAUAAAAAAUACAACAGACAUCACUUAAACCUUUCAAGGUUUUUCAUAGAUCACCCCGCUGAUGUUUUAAUGAUGAUAACCAGAAAAGACCCCUAUGGAAGUGCAACCAUUUAAUCACAAAGCAACUUAGUGCCCAUGCAAUUGUGGCCUGAUCUUAUUACUGCUCUCAGUGUCACAGUGAACUUUUGACCAAUUGCACAAAUCUCUGCUUCCUGCUCGAUUGCUAACCUAGCACCAUUCCUGGGAAAUGCAACAUUAAAGUCAUUCGUCAUUACUUCCUGACAAGUGCACAACUGAACAACAGUCAUUUGCGAGGAACAGAUGUCUCCUACAUGUUGCUUUGCAUAAUAGUUUAUCAAUUUAUAAAGAUAUAAUUCAUUCAGGACAUCUUUUGUCCAGCUCAUAUAAUCAAGCACUGAUACACAUGAGAAAAAAUGUAAAAUCAAAAUCUCUGAUUUUUGCAAUUAGAAAAACCAACGUUAAUUUAACCCAAAGCCAUAUUGGAAAAAGAUGCACAGCACAUUUAAACAAGGCAUAAUGCAAAUCCUCUAAUUUUUGAUGCCUCAAAGUAUUUGAUUUGCAUAAUAAUUGGCUGAUGUUGCUCUAUGAGCUUGCUUAAUUUCUCUAUAAAUUUAAACUUCCAUUGUAAUAUCUCUAAAAUGAGCUGUGAUUUUCCACUAUCAUCACAGGUGGAGGAGACAAGUACCACACCACUGCUACAUAAAUCCCAAACACCAUCUGCUGGGGUUCUGAAGCAUUGCAAAACGUACUGUAACAGUUUUUAAAAAUCCGAUGUGGAGAUCAUCAAGUUGAUUGUGACUGCUGAACAAAAAUAGGCUAUUUGGCCCAACUAGUCUCUCCCACAGCUUUGAUUCCUUAUAAGCCUCCACUUCAUUGAACUUUACCUUUAUUUUAGUCUUACAUAGUCACUGAUAAGGCUGGCAAUUGUUGCCAUUUGCUAAUUGCUUCACUAGGCCAUUUCACAGGGCUGUUAUGAUGAAGCACGUUACUAUAAGUUUGGAAACACAUGUAACCAGGUAAAGGUGGCAGUUUUCCUUCCCUACAGGCAUUAGUGAACCAAAGAAGUUUUCAUGACAACCACCAAGGUUACAUGGUCACAAUUAGGGUUAACUCCUAAUUCUAUGCUUUUCCUUUUCUUAUUCAAUUCUAGUUUCACUAUCUGCCAUAAAGGGAUUCAAGCUCACGUUCUCAGUAUCUCACCUGGAGUUCUGGAUUAGUCAAAUGACAUUCUCACUAAGUCACUGCCAUAAUCUCUUGUGCCUUUCUCCCUCAUAUACUUACCUAGUUUUCUCUUAAAUAGAUUAGGCUGUUCGGGUAUUGGCCUUUACACAACAGAAAUUGUACUUUUGAGAAAUGUAGCUCAUCAUUCACAGGUUCAGCAAAAACUGGGGAGCUGAAAGUCUAGGACUGGAGAGUAAUUUUCGCAUAUCAUGUUUAUUGGCUGGACUAGAAUUUAGGACAGAACUUGGAUUUAUUUUCUCUGAGAUUUGGGAAUCUGUGAAAUUCUUUACCUUAGAAGGCUGUUGAGGCUGGAUUGUUAAGCAUAUUCAAGCCAGGCAUAGACAGAUUUCAAAAUAUUGAAGGGAAUCAUGAGUUAUGGGAAAUAGACAGAAAGUGGAGUUGAGGAUUCAGAUCAGACAUGAUGGGUCUUAUGCUCUUACAUCUUCUGGUGAGAAGAUACUCUGUUCCUUUCUGGCCCUGUUAGGAAUGUUGGCAUUUUUUGAAAGGAGUGAGAGAAGAGAAUGGGAUCUUUAAUACACCCACCCACUAACAGCCCAAUAUAAUUAUGACAAAUAUAUAAUACACUGCAAAACCUCAAUCGCAUCUAUAUUCAUGAACAUUGGGUGUCUGAGGGACUUUGACAGGCCAAGUUUGCAGUUCAGUGGCAGGUGAUCAGUUUUCAUUUAAAGCAUUGUGGCCUUUUCUCCUCCUAUACUUUCCUUGGAUAUCCAAAUUGUAUAGUCAAUUUAAAUCACAUGACCAUAGAAUGUCCAAUGGGCUCAGUACUUGGGUUAAGAGAUGCAGUAAGGGCCCAGUCAGUGUGAGGGAGAUAUAUGUGGUGAUAUGAUGAUUGGAGAAGGAGGCAGUUUACGUAAAGUUUAUCAAGAAUUGAAGCGUGUUGAGUAGAGUUCAGUGAAAGGCAGGUGGUGCUUUUCAGUUUUACUCUUUUUCAGCUUCCAGCAUUUGAUUUCCCAUUUUGUACAGCAGACGGAGGGAGGUAAACCAGUAACUGGUAUUGUUAGAAACUACGUUUUAUGAGCCUUGUAAAAUUUGUAGCACUGCUAAAAUAUAUUGGGGAAUGUAGGCUGUAUUAAUUAUAAAUUAAUGAAUUGACAAUUAUUAACUGACACUUAUAAGCAAUUGGGAGGCAAUGGCUUAGUGAUAUUAUAGCUAGAUUAUUAAUCCAGAAACUCAGCUAAUGUUCUGAGUAU